CAGGUAUUCAAUCCCUGGCAGAAGCAACACUGUGACCUACCUCCCCCUUUGCUCCUCCCAUCCUUUUUAGAAUGGCUGACUAAAAUAAUUUCUAAAACAAUCUGGAUUCGAAGUGUAAGUCCGUCUUUCCACCCAAAGAUAUUUCCUGUGCAGUCACAAGUAACAAUGUUCAGGUAAACGUCAGAUGUUUCUUAAAUUUUAUUUGGAAUAUGUUACAGUAGUUACUGUAGUCCCAUAUCUAUC
rnacentral:lncRNA from 11 species